CCUACGGGAGGCUGCAGUGGGGAAUAUUGGACAAUGGGGGCAACCCUGAUCCAGCCAUGCCGCGUGUGUGAAGAAGGCCCUCGGGUUGUAAAGCACUUUCAGUGAGGAAGAACGCCUGGUGGUUAAUACCCAUCAGGAAAGACAUCACUCACAGAAGAAGCACCGGCUAACUCCGUGCCAGCAGCCGCGGUAAUACGGAGGGUGCGAGCGUUAAUCGGAAUUACUGGGCGUAAAGCGCGCGUAGGUGGCUUGAUAAGCCGGUUGUGAAAGCCCCGGGCUCAACCUGGGAACGGCAUCCGGAACUGUCAAGCUAGAGUGCAGGAGAGGAAGGUAGAAUUCCCGGUGUAGCGGUGAAAUGCGUAGAGAUCGGGAGGAAUACCAGUGGCGAAGGCGGCCUUCUGGACUGACACUGACACUGAGGUGCGAAAGCGUGGGUAGCAAACAGGAUUAGAUCCUGUAGUC
rnacentral:rRNA from 1 species